CCUACGGGAGGCAGCAGUGGGGAAUAUUGCACAAUGGGGGAAACCCUGAUGCAGCAACGCCGCGUGAGUGAUGACGGUCUUCGGAUUGUAAAACUCUGUCUUCAGGGACGAUAAUGACGGUACCUGAGGAGGAACCGACGGCUAACUACGUCCGACGACCUCGGCUAAU
rnacentral:rRNA from 1 species